UUCGCUGCGCCAACUAGCGGUGGGGUAUCUGAAGCUGGCUCGUAACCUGAAUUUUAGCUUGCAACUCAAAGCAAAAAAUCGGCCGAGAGACAGCUCGUAUCUCGAAAAACUCGUUGGUCGGGGCACUCGUAAGUCAUGGCCCCACUGUAAAGUCUUAUUUUACCUAUUUGCCCAUAAACUUUGUGUCUGGAUUUUAUUCAGUAGCCUCUCCAUUUUCUUCCCCAGGGCUCAUCUCAGAAGUGCCCCCUCUUUCUUCACCGUUGGAAAGCCCACGGCACAUUACCACCUGUGUGGAGUGCUUCUCAUGCGGCCCCAAGGCCCGCACCAUCCAAGGCGCUUCUGAAAACACCUGCACACUGGGGGCUACUGAGGGAACCGCCCUGGGGUAUGUGGGGAGACGACAGAAUGGCCCCUCACAAUACCAGCUGCUUUCAUUUCCCACGAGUUCCCUAUGAGAGGAAGAAAGAGAACAAGAAGCAUGAAGAGCCGCCUGAAGGCCUGGCCCAGCCUCAUGGUCAGCUGCUGGAGAAGGGCAAGGGUGUCCACAUCCCUGAGGACAAAACAGAGGACACAGGAAGUGACCAGUCUACUGAGGAAGGCUCUCCUCUCAGCAAAACAGAAGCACGAAAAUAUGCCAAAGGGUUUAAUCGCGUCCAGAGCGCAGCCUCUUUCCAACAUCCCUUCCUGCUUCCCCCGCCAGCAUCCCUCCCAAAGAAAAAUUACUACCAAAGAUAAGAACUGAAAAAUGGCCCAAAUGCUCUCAUGAUCUCACAAUUAAAAGGAGCAACAGGAAGCAGCAGCCUCAUCCUCCCCCACCCCUGUAACCUCCAGAUCCUUCUCGGGUACCCAGGGGCACACCUCCUGAGCUGGGUGGACGCGGGCCCCCCCUCCUGCCGGCUGGUCCUGGAGGAGCGGUGGCCAGUGCAGCAUUAAGCAGACGCGAUGGACGGGAGGCUCUGGCAGAGCCCACGGAAGCUGCGUUCCUCGGGGAAGGUAGCACUGAGCCCGUGGCAGCUGCGCGAGACAGAAGGCCAUGGGCGGCCCGCUGUGGUCACAUGAAGACUGGACGUGGUUCGCCUCCGGGCUGAAGGGGAAGUCUGCCCCCAGAACAUCACAGGCUCCUCCAAAGCCCCGAGACACAACCCAAGACAGCUCAGCUGGAAGGAAACCAAAGCUCCUGUUCAGACAAAAUCUUCUCCAGCACCCCCGCCCCCUCUCCUCUGUGUCACACGCAUUGACCGAGAGUCUGCCACGUUCAGGACAUCAUGCGAGGCUGUGCUAGCCGCCGCCACCCCCUCCCACCAGGGGAGGCUUUUACUAUGUCAGCGUUCCACGACGACCUCAAAGAGUUGUCGCUCAGCCACUGAGCCACGCCGGCUGGGGACACAGUUAUUCUGAGUCAUGUUUUUAUACCUCCUCUGACCUCCUGGGGAGACCGCUCAGCCGGGCUCACGCACUCUGUUUAAAUUCCGCGAGAAGAGCAGUGCUUCACUUCGGGCCUUGGGAGCUUCCCGAGAGAGCACCCAGGUUCCCACCCUGGCCCUCCGCAUCAGCUCCUGAACGGCGGGGGAAGGAAAUGAGCACCACCCAAGGUCGUGGCUGGGAGAGGAAGACGUCAAAGGAAACAGAGAUGCAGGCUUGCCGUUACCUAGCUCUUCACUGCAUGCGUGUGGGAGAGAACUGUCUGGCAGCGACGGGAAGUUAGAUGGCACUGAGCUGAGGCGGAGCUGCAUCGCACCCCUGGACGCUGGCCAGAAUGGAAAUGAAUGACGAAGGGACAGCAGAGACUUCACUUUUGGGUUCCCUUCUUCCUUUAUUUCCUUCAGUCCUCCCUCCCUCUCUUCCUCUCUCUCCCACGGGCCAAACGCGUCCUGCGACCUGUUCUUGGAUGGCUUGCAAAGGAGGAACGGACUUACCAUUUUUAAAUGAUUGAAAAGGAAACCAAAACUAUAUGACACUUUUUAGUGCCCAUAAAUAAAGCUUUAUUGAAACACAGCCGCACCUACCCAUUUACAUGUUCUCGAUGGCUACUUUUGUGCCGCCACAGCCGUGUUGCAUAGCUGCCAUUUGUAUAGUUGCAACAGAGUCCGCAUGGCCCACAAAGCCUAAAAUAUUUACUAUCUGGCCCUCGACAGAGAGAGUUUGCUGACCUCUGCACAAAGUGAAAGAAUAAUUCUGCACAAAUGCAGAAAAAUGAGAGGGUCGCACGCUUCCUUCUUCAGUUGACCUAGUUAAAUGGCCAUGUGGCGCCCUUAGUUAUCUUCUCUUCAGUUAACCCCUCGGAGUCAGAAUCAACUCCACUCCCGUGGCCUUGGCAAGGCCACUUGCCCAUCCUUCCCCUGCGGAGAGCGAGGCCCCGCCUGCCCACCACGUCCUCAGCUUCCAGAGAGAGCAGAUCAGAACGUCCUUGGCCUCCAUCUGUGUCCCAGUAAGAGCUUUCCUGGCCCUGAGUUGAGGGGCUGCUCCCUUCUGCACAAGCCUCUGGCUUGUUAUGCUUUGGGGUCCACCCCAGAGACGUCAACCCCGGUCCAGGCGGGGAAGACGUGAGCACUGGGCGUGGGAGUCUGCAAUGUGGCGUUUCUCUCCUCGUCUCCAGGAACAGACUUGAAGCUGCCAACCCCCCUGGGACCUGUGUAUCCACCGUUCAUCUUGAGUCCGAGCUCCAAAGCUGUGGGACGAAGCUGGCAACUGUCUCCUCCCUCGGCAAAGAACUUCCAAAUACACGACGUAAGUCUCCCAAGGGCCCCUCUCCUCCCUAUGGCCCUGCAGGCUGAGAGGUGAGACUGUGCCCCACACAGGGGCGAGCUGAGCAAACGAGGUGCCGAUGGUUUCUCUUGACCGUUGACCUCGUCCCACCCCCAUCACCUCCUGCCUCCACGUGAGGCCGGUGCAGAGAGAGAGAUGAAGCCCUGAGCACAGGUCAUACUGCGUUGUGGAUCUCAUCAGGGUUCCCCGAAAGAAGAAAAGUCCUCAACAUCGGACAGUUUUCUGAGGCCCCGAAUGGUCUCUUCCCCCACAGGUACCUCUGUUCUCCCUCAAUUGCUGCUACAUUUCCACUGAGUGAGGGGCGAGUCUUCACCCCCUGCCUUGCCUCCGGUUCACAGGCUCAUUUUGUUUUGUGUGAAAGCUCGGUGGCAAUCUAAUCCUCUCUCCCUCCUGUCGUGCCAUCCAGAAAUGGCCUUCAAUUGCUCCUCACGUGACAAACCUCUGCUGAGCACUUAGCACGAGACAUGUCAUCCAUCCAAGUGGUAAAACGCAGGCUCUGUUUCUGAGGACCCCGGGUGCAGUUGGGACAUAACUGGGUAGAGAGACCUCGCAGGAAGUCAGGUGGGGGACACAGACUCUCGGGGGAGAUGGUGCGGAAGCCCAGAGGAGGAGCUAGCUCUGACUGGGGCCAGACACUUCCUUGGAAGCCAACAUCAGAAUUCUGAAAGGGGCGUAGGGGAGGCAGGAGAGGAACAGAGGGGGGCUGAUCUGGCAGGAAAGGAGGUGCAUGCAGGUUUUGGCUCCUCUGGAAAAUGUCCUGGUGGUCAUGAUGGUGAUGAUGGCCUUCCUAACAGAGGCGCCAUGACAGGUCGGGGAAGGAGCAGACAGAAGGGCCCAGAGGUGGAGGACUCUCUCAUCUUUUACGGGAUACAGCUCUGCUCUCAGUCGGCUCCAACCCUAUCCAGAGUGAUGGGGCUGGUCUGGCCCGUUAAGGCCCACUGGCACCUGUCUGUCCGUCCUCAAGGUGGACUCUGGGGCCACCUUCCUUGGAACAGAGUCACCCCCUGAAGCCACGCAUGUGAAUUUAAACUGGAGGCAAGAGAAGGUGACAGAGGCCGCGGGAAGUCCUCUCACCUGCUGGGUCUCACUGUUUCCGUUUGGGAUGUGGGAUGUUGACCUCUAAUGUCCCUAGGGGCCUCCGAUGUCAGCUCCUGUCCCCACUGCCUCCAGAGCUGCCCUCGCAGUGCCCGCCUGGGCAGUACUGGGAGAAAGAAACCAACACAUUCGUUUCCUGCUGUGUGGGAGGCAGGAAAUGGUCCAACCCCCUAAUUGGGAUGAGGUUCCUGCGGUGUGUCCAGCCGCCCACUCCUCAGCACACCCCCGCUCCCCAGGUGUCUCAGCGAGAAAGGCGGGUGCACCCGGCCAUCGAAGCCAGGCUGCAUCUACCACCACCACCUUGCCAACCAUUACCCUGCCUCUGUGGGGCGUAAAAGAAUCAAUACAUAGCCCUGGAAGGUCUGUUUAGUGGUUAGAGCAUUGGCCCGAGGACCGAAGGUUUGAGGGUCCGGGUCCUAGUUAAGGGCAUGUAUCUUGUUUGUUAGUUCGUCCCCGGGGUCGGUCAGGGCAUGUGCAGGAGGCAACCAGUUCAUGUGUCUCACACAUCGAUGUUUCUCUCUCUCUCUCUCACCCUCCUCCCUCCCACUCGCUUUCUAAAGAUCAAUGGAGAAAAUAUCCUUGGGUGAGGAUUGAAAAAAAAAAAAAGAAUCAAUACGUAGAGAGAGGCAGCAUUUGCUGCGCCUCCUCUGCACCCAAGGGGGAGCCGAGCAUGUCCGGGCACACUGUGUAGUGUCUCUCCAAGUGGAAUGCAAAUGGGGCUCCUUUGCUCCUCAGUUUCUAAUAGAAGUGAGAUUAGAAUCCCAAGAGGGGACCCUACAUCACACAAUCACGCGUCGGAGCCUGCCUCUGGCCUUCAGCAGGGAUGGCCGUCGGUUGAUGGCAUUCUUGGCAGCCAGGGUCCCACGCACCAUGCCAUUUCGAGGCUGGAAACGACCUCAGCCACCGAACCACCAUAGAGGUGGGUGGUGAGUUGAGGUCCUACAGUGAGUGGCACAGUCAGAAUAGAACUCGGUGCCCUGAUCCCCAGUCUGCUGUGCAGACCCAGCAACUCAUGGAGCAGACGGCCCUUUUCUCUACCUCCCAAGGCUGUAGACCAUUCAGAAAGGCAAAUGGCGGUCCGCCUAGUGCAGGAGAGGCGUGAAGAAGUGCCUGUUUUAAGCAGUACACCCUGACUUGUGGGAGCUGGUGGGACGCGCUCUCUGGGCUCCUCACCGCAGGUGCCCGUGGCCCGUCCCCCCCAGCAGGGCCCUUUCCGGGACCUCCUGGACAUGAAGACGGAGAAGAGACUGGCCGGCUGGAAGGAGCGUCGCAGUCGCUACGGGGACAUCAACAUGCACAAAUACUAUCAGCUCGGGCAGGUCUUCACCCCUUUCCGGGCCCUCGCCACCAUGUCUCUCGUCACCACCUUUAUGGAACAUGACUCAGUCAGUGCUUCCCAACCCUGUUCACGCCAUCAGCACCCCGAAGUCUGAAGGGGGCCAUUGUUCAGGCCGCCUGGAACCCACUCACAGCUCCAGUGCGCACAGGAACCCAGGCAGUUAAUCUUCACCCCCACGCCAAUCAGAUCAGAAAACCUGGGGGCAGGUCCCAGGCAUCAGCAUGUUUUAAAGCCUCUUGAUUUGAUGACCAACCCGCCCAGUUUUGCCAGGACUGACUCUCACACUUCUCUCGGAAUUUCCCAUCUUUUGCCACUAAAAGUCCUGAGUCCCAGGAAAGCCCUCAGUUUUUGUUUUAAAACGGAGUCUCGAGUCCUUGGAAUUUGUACAAACCAGACGGCGAGCCACUCUAUCCAGGCAUGAUUUUAAUGCCUAGCCAAGUUUCCAAGGACUGCUCUCUGAACAUUCUAGAAAUUAGCCCCAAUUCCUCAUGUCACAGUUGCUGCCCAUCUAUCCAUUCACUAACCAGCAUUCCUUAGGCGUGUACACAGCCCGGAGCUGAGAACUUUGGAGGACCCAGCAAUGAAAAUCUCAGUCCUACCCCCAAGGAGCUUCUAGCCUACUAGGGAUACCGAGUCAUGAGCCCAAACCAUGCUGCAGACACAAGUAUGAUGCCACAGUAAUAAGAACAGCUCCAUAAGUGGAUAGACCCAGAAGGAGACAAGGGGUCUCCAAAUAUGAGCUGCUUUCUGCUAAAUCCACCCCCAAGGUCAUGAUGAAGAGCAAAGCCUGCACAUAGGGACACCCUCUUGACUCACAGUGCCACCUGGGAAGAGCAGAUUGGCCAUGUAUUGGGAGCAAUCGUCCCCAUGUAUAGAGUUCUUACUAUGUGCCAGGUAUAGUGCUAAAGACUUCCCAGGCCUUGAUUCUUGGGACCUCUACCCCAUUAACAUCAUUUUAUCAAUGAGGAAGCAAAAGAUGAGGCGUGUUAAGUAACUUGCCAGCCAGUGGCGGAGCCAGGAUGAGCCUGCUGUGCUGGAACAGGUGCUCCCGACCUCCAUGCGUUAUCUCAUUGCCGUUAUUCUCUGCCUCGUAGGAGAUGCGAAGGCUGGUAUUUCCCCAACACCUGCCCAUGAGUCUGCACAUGCACAAAAUGGGCAUUUCGUGCACCGACGAAAGGACUCUCCGAGACUUACCUUUGUCUUCCACAGAGCUGGGCUUGGGAAUGGAUGACAACACC